AGGCGUAAAAACGCAUUAUUACGGCAUUCAAUGCAAUUAUAAUGAUGCGUUUUUUCCAAUGUAAAAAAAAAAAAAAGCGUACAGAAAGAAGUGUCCAAAAUGACCAAAAUAUUAGGCACACCCAAGUUCUCGCGUUGAUAGGAGAGAGCGUUUACGCAUGCGCGGACAUUUUUCGGCACUUCUUUUAAAAUGUGACAUUUUGACACUCUGGGUGUUCCAUUCGUCGCGUGUUAACGAUAAUUUGUCCCUCCGGUUCGUUCAUCGUUCAACGUCGAUCAUUUAGUUUUGUUUAAUUGCGACCAGGUAGUUAAACGCUGACCGGAAACGAGCCAUUGUUUGGCUUGGCGUUUUUUUUUUUUGUUUGUUUGCUAAUGUUACGUGUGUUUCGAGCACCUGAACUAAGUUAGGUUAGCUACGUUAGUGCGAAUUAAGGCAUUUUUUUGUAUUGUUUACAUGCGCAGUAGACGACCACAAUGAAGGGAAGUUGUCAACACCUGCUUCCACGUGCAAAGGACGGAGGAGGUUUUGGACAGGCUCAGUUCAGGACAUGGAUGCAUCUGCACUACAAUGACGCAAACCUGGUUUUGGGCAGGUGUGUGCACUUUUUUUUCCCAACACAGAGGACGCCAUGCUGUUUGAAGCCAUUUUUUUAGUGGGUCAUUCCAUGUUAGGUCACGCCAUAAUUCAUAAAAAAAUUAACCAAGUGGAUUUUGAUUUGAAUGAAACUUGCCGUACUUGUUGAAGGUGUUGGCACAACACUAAAACUAAGUAUCAGAGACAUAAUUUAUUUUGUACAGCAGCAAUAAGGAGUCAUAGUACACACCCCUAUAAUAAUCCUUGCAAUUUGCAUAUUCAAUGAGGUCAUUGAAUAUUCAUUGCAAAUCUGACAAUAUGGAUACGAUGAGCCCUUACUGCUGCUAAACAACAUUGACAAAACUGAAACCUUUGAGAGAACAUGUGAGAGAUUACAUUCCAUGAAAAAAAAUAUGGUCACGUAAUCCUCAAGGUCACCCAAGGUCCAUCUCCAGGUUAAGUUCUAGGUCAAAAGUUGCUUAAAUAUAAAUCAAUCUUCCAAAUGAUUACAGAUAUUGAUUUCUUGUUAAAUUCCCUUCCCAAAUAAAUACCUGUUUUGUGAAGAUGGGAUGGGUUGAUGCCUGAACUCAGGAAGGAAGGCGGCCACGCCCCCUUUUCCGGAGCUCAUAAAAAUUCGGGGAUGCCGUAGCUCCCAAACCCUUGCUCCGAUUGACCGCUAAUUUGAGAUUUAGUGUUGUGCCAUCACUGUCAACAAGUACAGCAAGUUUCAUUCAAAUCAAAAUCCAUUUGGCUGAACCCGCUUGUGAUUUGCCAUGGAAUGACCCAAGUGAGCUUUCUGACCUCGACUUGAUCUGCGACACAGUGCACACAAGGAGAACAAAGCUCAAUGCUUCUGAACAUGUGCUAUUUUUAAAAUUACAUUGUUGUGGCCCAGAUUAUUUAAAACUAAAUAUUUAUAUUUUUGUUUAAUAAAUUGGCAAAAAUAACUGAUUUAAAAAAAAAAAAAAAACAUCGAAACACAUGUUCAUAAGCAGUGAGUGAUGUUGUUACCAGCUUCCACAUGUGUCAGUGUUGUGCAGUCCAUGCUUGUCAAGCAGACAACAUGGCAUCCUCUGCUGCUGGCUGAAAUGUACUGCCUGUCAGCCAGUGUCGGUGUAGAACUUGAGUCAAGCUUUAUUGCUAAAAUGAUGUGAAAUUGUUUU